UUCCCGGUGUAGCGGUGAAAUGCGUAGAGAUCGGGAGGAAUACCAGUGGCGAAGGCGGCCUUCUGGACUGACACUGACGCUGAGGUGCGAAAGCGUGGGUAGCAAACAGGAUUAGAUACCCUGGUAGUCCACGCCGUAAACGAUGUCGACUAGCCGUUGGGGUCCUCGAGACCUUUGUGGCGCAGUUAACGCGAUAAGUCGACCGCCUGGGGAGUACGGCCGCAAGGUUAAAACUCAAAUGAAUUGACGGGGGCCCGCACAAGCGGUGGAGCAUGUGGUUUAAUUCGAUGCAACGCGAAGAACCUUACCUACUCUUGACAUCGAGCGAACUUUCCAGAGAUGGAUGGGUGCCUUCGGGAACGCUCAGACAGGUGCUGCAUGGCCGUCGUCAGCUCGUGUUGUGAAAUGUUGGGUUAAGUCCCGUAACGAGCGCAACCCUUGUCCCUAUUUGCCAGCGAUUCGGUCGGGAACUCUAGGGAGACUGCCGGUGACAAACCGGAGGAAGGUGGGGACGACGUCAGGUCAUCAUGGCCCUUACGAGUAGGGCUACACACGUGCUACAAUGGCCGGUACAAUGGGCUGCAAUCCCGCGAGGGGGAGCUAAUCUCAUAAAGCCGGUCUCAGUCCGGAUCGGAGUCUGCAACUCGACUCCGUGAAGUCGGAAUCGCUAGUAAUCGUGAAUCAGAAUGUCACGGUGAAUACGUUCCCGGGCCUUGUACACACCGCCCGUCACACCAUGGGAGUGGACUGCACCAGAA
rnacentral:rRNA from 1 species